rnacentral:rRNA from 1 species
GUGUCAGCCGCCGCGGUAAUACAGAGGGUGCGAGCGUUGUCCGGAAUCACUGGGCGUAAAGGGCGCGUAGGCGGCUCGGUAAGGUUGCGGUGAAAGCCCGGGGCUCAACCCCGGGUCGGCCGUGGCAACUGCUGAGCUAGAGCACUGUAGAGGCAGGUGGAAUUCCGGGUGUAGCGGUGGAAUGCGUAGAGAUCCGGAAGAACACCGGUGGCGAAGGCGGCCUGCUGGGCAGUGGCUGACGCUGAUGCGCGACAGCGUGGGGAGCAAACAGGAUUAGAUACCCGCGUAGUCC